GGAUUCGUAGACAAUCAUUUUCCAAGAAGACUUCGUGAAAAACCAAAAUUUCCCCUCACUAAUUCCGCAUCUAAAACUUUUUUUUUUGAAGGGAUCCUAAGACAACCGCUAGGUUUCUCCUUAAAACUGACCAUCUCAUAAAGGAAAAAUGGAGGGGUUUCAUCCAAAUCAAGUGGUGUUCUCUCGUCUCGUGAUUAUCAGAAUCCUAAGGGUUUCAUUUUUUCCCUCAACACCAGAUCUCUCGUUCCAUACAAAACUAUUAUUUUCACCACUCUCAUCGCAUUGAGAUUAACAAUCAAACCCUAACUUCUUUCUAACCGAUGACUCUUUUCUUCUUCAAAUUUCAUCAGUUUUGUUCUUUUCUUCAUCAUUCUCGUUACAAUCUCGAGCAUCAACUUCAUCAGGUUUGGAUGAUCUAGGUGAAUAUAUUCCGCAAUAUACCAAUGAAGAUCGUCCAAGAAUCAUAUUGAUGUUUUAACUGUUACCCUGUUCAGUCAUUUUUGAGCUGUCAGAGAUCGUAGUUUGAAUAAUGUUGUGGAAGUGGAUCAGAUGUAGCAUUUCCUAUGUGAUUUGGGAUAUCAUUGCAAACUGAUUCCUAUUUGUGUGAAUAUGAAUUUGUACCUUUGCCAGAAUUAUAAGCGGUCUUCAUUUCCUAGAUUAAAUCACCGUUCUCCUUUGUGCUACUCAUCCAACAUGAACCAAAUCAUCUGCAGUAUAAUGAUGGAGUAUUCCGGUCAGUGCAACUACUAACAUUGCGGUCUAAUGAUGGAGUAUGCUAGUCAGUGCAACAAUUAACAACUCCUGAACAACUUUUAGGACCUUUAGAUCACCUUUAUAAACCCAGGGUGCAGCUUUACAGACCUCAGACUAAUUGAUUUUGUGGCCUGGGAAUUGACUGCUGGUGUGGAUUUAGCACAAAAUAGGUGUAAUUUGAAGUAUCAAUUCUAUUAGAGUUUGAGAUUGUGUAGAUUUAGUUUAUAAUUUUUUAUUAUUGUGUAAAUCACUGUACUCUGAAACAUAUUUAUAUUUAUGAAAUUUGAAAUCUUUGUUC